rnacentral:rRNA from 1 species
AUUGAACGCUGGCGGCAGGCCUAACACAUGCAAGUCGAACGAGUGGCGGACGGGUGAGUAAUGUCUGGGAAACUGACUGAUGGAGGGGGAUAACUACUGGAAACGGUAGCUAAUACCGCAUACCCUCGGAUGUGCCCAGAUGGGAUUAGCUAGUAGGUGGGGUAAAGGCUCACCUAGGCGACGAUCCCUCGCUGGUCUGAGAGGAUGACCAGCUAGACUGGAACUGAGAAACGGGCCAGACUCCUACGGGAGUCAGCAGUGGGUACUAUUGCACGAUGGGCGCAAGCCUGAUGCAGCCAUGCCGCGUGUAUGAAGAAGGCCUUCGGGUUGUAAAGUACUUUCAGCGGGGAGGCGUUACCCGCAGAAGAAGCACCGGCUAACUCCGUGCCAGCAGCCGCGGUAAUUC